AGCUGUCUGUUCUGGUACACCUCCUUACUUUUCUUCCCACUUUCCAUCUCCCUUUGUCUUCCUGGCCUUGAUAAUAUCAUGAAGUGUUGUUUUCUUCAGGCCAUACUUGUCCAUCAGUUGAGCAUGUGACAUGUCCCUCUCAUGGUCCUGGAUUAUCUCAAACUUCUGAUGCACAGAGAGAAUCUUUUCUCCCUUUCUCCAUGAAGCAUGAGACGGUGAUGGAGUCUUACAAGAUGUGGUGGGAGUUUGGGAAGACAUUGUAGAUGUAUGUGUCACUGUGAGUGAGAGAGAGCACAUUAGCGAGGUACCACACUCUGUGAUAACCAGCCACACACUGAGCUGUGUUCAGUCAGCCCAGCCUAGGCCUGCGCCAGUAGUCAGCUUACCCAAGGGAUAUGCACAGCGUCACUGGCAUGUUUGGUCAACUUUCAAACUUGUCGAAUAAACCAAACAUAUGAUGAUGAUAAGUGCAAAUCGCAAGCACGAGGAUCCUUACAGCCUAGAAAUUCACAAUGCACCACCAACUCUGGACACAAUGGCUCGUCUUGAGCGCUACAUCCCACCCCUGUACAAGGUAAGCAAGGAGUGUGUCACCAUGCUGCGGAACAAGCCGAUCCGAGGCGCCCCAUUGGACUUCACAGGCGUCCUUUAAGAGACUGGAAUAUGUGUGGCCAUACCUGGCAGUGUAGAGGCUGUGCACAGGCACCACUUUGAAGGCCCAGACAAGAGGAACAGUUGUACCUCUUCACCUCCCUGGCAGCCUGGCUCAUCUGCAUCUGGAGGCCCCACAACAAUGUGACCACCCAAACUCCACUGUGUCAGCCAUUUGUGACCAGCUUAGGCACCUGCCUCUCCUUACCCUAGUGGUGGUGGUAGUGGUGGUGGUGGUGACGUGGAGGAUGAGACGGGCAGUGCCGGACAAGGUGGAGGAGGAGAUGGCGGCGGCGGAGUACAGGGAGCGAGAGGAAGGGGAGGAGGAGAACGAUUUACGUGUGAACGACCUCAGGGAUUUGAAUGAACAGAAGACACACACAACUGAGCAGACGCAGGAGCACCGAGAGAGCGCCUCCACGGACAAGCACCUGGUUAGCCUGCACUGGGAAAUCACCUGCAGUCUGUAGAAGAUUGUCCCCUGGGAAAAGUACCUAAUCUGCCACUAGAACCAUUAAAACACCCUUAAAAACCUGUGUCAUUUUAACUAGAGGCUUUUGAAAGUAAUGGAGCUCCUCAAGAGUGUUUCUCCUGUUAAUAAUGUAGAAAUAUUGCUAAUCUGUUACUACAACCAUUAAAAUUCCCUUAAAAUUUUGUGUCCCUUCAACUAGAGGCUUUUGAAAGUAAUGGAGCUCCUCAAGAGUGUUUCUCCUGUUAAUAAUGUAGAAAUAUUGCCAAUCUGUCACUAGAACCAUUAAAAUUCCCUUAAAAACCUGUGCCACAAUAACCAGAGCCUUUUGAAAGUAAUGGAGGUUUUCAAGAACGUUUCUACUGUUAAUAAUGUAGAAAUAUUGUUAAUCUCACUAGAACCAUUAAAAUUCCCUUAAAAACCUGUCACUUUAACCAGAGCCUUUGGAAAGUAAUGGAGAUUCUCAAGUGUGUUUCUACUGUUAAUGAUGUAGAAAUAUUGCUGUCACUAGAACCAUUAAAAUUCCCUUAAAACCUGUCAUUUUAACUAGAGCCCCUGGGAAAAGUACCUAAUCUGCCACUAGAACCAUUAAAACCCUUAGAAACCUGUGUCAUUUUAACUAGAGGCUUUUGAAAAUAGUGGAUGUUUCCUGCCCCUGGCCGAGUAACAUUUUGGCAAGAAAGUUCACUGUAAAUUGUGUUUGCUUGUUGGGGAAAGGAGAGCUCAUCACAGCAUGACUCGCUCUCUGUACUGCACGUGGAGUAACAAUGUAUAUGAAACGUUAAAUUCCUCAUGCAUCUGCAAGAAAACAAUGUUAGUGCGCCAUAAUAUUGCAAAAAUGAGAUGCCUCAGACCGCCCAGGGAUAUCUACGUGGGCCGCAGUGUGCAGACGAUUCCCUAUGACUGUGUCCUCGUCUCGCUCUGUUUCAUGACAGCUCAAAUUUGUAUAUUUGUAGCCUUACUAGGGAGAAGAUCAACCAAAGGAUAAUAUCAAAGCUUCUCUGUUUUUUAUUACAAGUAAGUAUAUUCAGUGUUCAUGUUAAUGCAAGAAAGUUACAUAAAGACGAAG